rnacentral:rRNA from 1 species
UGGGGAAUAUUGGACAAUGGGCGCAAGCCUGAUCCAGCCAUGCCGCGUGAGUGACGAAGGCCUUAGGGUUGUAAAGCUCUUUUGGCGGGGACGAUAAUGACGGUACCCGCAGAAUAAGCCCCGGCUAACUUCGUGCCAGCAGCCGCGGUAAUACGAAGGGGGCUAGCGUUGUUCGGAAUUACUGGGCGUAAAGCGCACGUAGGCGGAUUAGUUAGUCAGGGGUGAAAUCCCGGGGCUCAACCUCGGAACUGCCUUUGAUACUGCUAGUCUUGAGUCCGAGAGAGGUGAGUGGAAUUCCUAGUGUAGAGGUGAAAUUCGUAGAUAUUAGGAAGAACACCAGUGGCGAAGGCGGCUCACUGGCUCGGUACUGACGCUGAGGUGCGAAAGCGUGGGGAGCAAACAGGAUUAGAUACCCCCGUAGUCC